AGAUGCGAACCGAGUCGCUGUACGGGGGUUUGCCAAGUAAGCCGCAUAUCACUCGGGAUAUAGAUCGAAGUAUGCGGCCACCGAGCUCAGUAGCUUCUGCAGAUUAGAGGGAGUCAUCAACUCGGCGCAGUUAUUCGCCACAUUAGCACCAUGAAACGGAGUGCAGCGUUAUUCGCGAUAUGGUCUUUGCUGAUACCUCAGGUGGUCGAGUCCCGGAAAACCUUGCAGCCUAAAGUCAUUGAUCCGGAAUGUGAGUGCGGAGUUUCCGGUGAAGGAGUCGCCAACCGAAUCGUGGGUGGGGUAAUAUCGGUGCCGCACACUUUCCCUUGGGUCGCAGCGAUCUUCGUCAGAGGUUCUCUGCACUGCGGCGGAACCCUGAUCAACGACCGAUACAUCCUUACUGCCGGACACUGCGUGAAAUGGACAAACCAGAACGAUCUAUCCGUAUGGCUUGGAAUCCACGACAUCGAGAAUCGCGAUGGAGGCGUCGUGUCGCCCAUCGAACAAGUGAUUCUUCACGAUGGGUUCAGGAGCGAUUUCCUGCACGACACGAACGACAUCGCUCUGAUUAAACUCAAGUACCCCGUACGGUACAACGAGAACAUCAAACCAGUUUGUCUGCCUUACAGAGAAUCGGACUACACCAAUCACAAGGUCAGUGCUACCGGAUGGGGCAGAGUCACCACCUCUGGUAAUGCUUCCAGAUUCCUCCGUCAAGCUGAUCUGAAAGUUAUGCCCUGGUCCGACUGUCGUAAUACGUCGUUCGGCAACCAUCUCACCAAGUCUAUGCUCUGUGCGUACAAUGACGAUACGGACGCCUGUCAGGGCGACAGCGGCGGCCCUCUGCUCUUCAAAAGACAGGACGACAAGUAUGAAAUCGUUGGGGUUGUCUCUUGGGGAAUAGGAUGUGCCAAACGUGGCAUGCCGGGUAUUUACGUCAAGACUACCGACUACCUGGACUGGAUAACCGCUAGAACCACAACCGCGAUAUAUUGCGCCGAUAAUUAGUUGGAUAGAAGUUUAAUGAUCGAUGCGACACGUAAAUGUGUGAAAUAGUACCUAUUGUUGUUGUGAUGGUUAAUAGUGUCAAGAGAAUACAUUUAGGCCAAUAUCAAGUGUUUUUAUCAGACGGUUAGACGUGGCGGUGGCGACAAGCUUUUGGGUUUCCUUGAAGUGGCUGCAAAGAGAAGUACAGGACGAGAACAGUGCUAGAAAUUAAAAUGGUAACCAGGAAUGUGGAAUCAUAUUCAUGCAUAGACAAAAUUCUGUGUUGACUGUGACAAUAAUAAAGAUAUUAUGAGAACAGUACGAAAAAACAAAGACGUUCUGAGCAUUGCGCUUAAAUUUUACAGGUAAGCUACAAACAUUGAGUAAAGUUCGGUACCGUCUCUUUAUCGUCUCCUGACGUCGUUAACGCAAUCGCCACGGUAUACAUUUUCAAUCUUAUUUUACGACCAGCCUCAUGAAUUUCACGUCACCUUGAUAACUCCUCAGACGCCUCUUACACCAGAAGUUGCUGAUUAAAAACAUAAUAACAAAUACACAUAGCUAUAUAAAAGACUAUUAAGUGAAUCAAAUGAAAAUUUAUGAUCAGUGUUCAUUAUUGAAACCACGGUAGCGUAAAAAUCACCAAUCAAGACGAAAGUCGCAUUCGUGCAUUCGGCUACCACAUAAUAAAUUCUCAGGGAGAAUCGCUCAUUGAACAACGUCCAUAUUUCUUCCGAUUGAAUGCCAAACGAACAAAACAGCGACGUCAUUAAAAUUAGUUGACCGCGUUAAACGCCAAAUAGUAUGCAACCACGUAUACUCUGCGCCUAAUGGCAGGCUAACCGCUAUACAGUUAGAGACACGAGCCGUUUGUUUACCCAACUCGGCGUUGCGUGCGCAAGGGCAGCAGCGUUCAUUUCGCGUUUCUAGGACAGAUGUGCGCCGUCUGAAAGUGAUUUUGCAUUGAGUAGAAUAAAUCUAUGGUAAAUUUAACGUUUUUAUAAAAUAAUUGACAAUGGCGGGGCUCUUGGAUUUGUGCGAAAAGUAUUUCGGCGCCCGAGACUUUUACGAAGUGUU